CCUGUCAGCAAUGCCGCGUGCAGGAAGAAGGCCUUCGGGUUGUAACUGCUUUUGUACGGAACGAAACGGCUCUUUCUAAUAAAGAGGGCUAAUGACGGUACCGUAAGAAUAAGCACCGGCUAACUACGUGCCAGCAGCCGCGGUAAUACGUAGGGUGCGAGCGUUAAUCGGAAUUACUGGGCGUAAAGCGUGCGCAGGCGGUUAUAUAAGACAGUUGUGAAAUCCCCGGGCUCAACCUGGGAAUUGCAUCUGUGACUGUAUAGCUAGAGUACGGUAGAGGGGGAUGGAAUUCCGCGUGUAGCAGUGAAAUGCGUAGAUAUGCGGAGGAACACCGAUGGCGAAGGCAAUCCCCUGGACCUGUACUGACGCUCAUGCACGAAAGCGUGGGGAGCAAACAGGAUUAGAUACCCUGGUAGUCCACGCCCUAAACGAUGUCAACUGGUUGUUGGGUGCAUUAGUACUCAGUAACGAAGCUAACGCGUGAAGUUGACCGCCUGGGGAGUACGGCCGCAAGGUUGAAACUCAAGG
rnacentral:rRNA from 1 species